UUAGAACCAGGGUGUUCGGUACGAUGUC
rnacentral:sRNA from 1 species